CAUGUCUUUUUGAUUAUAAUUUAAAGUCUAAUCUGCUCAAUGAUAUUUUAAAUUGCCGCAGUAUUUUGACUGUGCAAAGGUAGCAUAAUAAUUAGUUUCUUAAUUAGGAACUGGAAUGAAUGAUUGGACAAGAAAAUUUCUGUCUCUCUUUUAAAUUUAUUGAAUUUUAUUUUUAAGUGAAAAAGCUUAAAUUUUUAUAAAAGACGAGAAGACCCUAUAGAGUUUGAUAUAUUAGUAUAAUUAAUUUUUAGAAAUUUUUAUUAUGAUAAUUUAUUUAUUUGGGGUGAUUUGAAGAUUAGAAAAAUUCUUUGAUUAUUAAGUUAAUAAUUUUUAAUUUAUCUAUUUAAAGUUGUUAAAUUUAAAAUAAAUUACCUUAGGGAUAACAGCGUAAUUUUUCUUAAAAGUUCUUAUUGAAAGGAAAGUUUGCGACCUCGAUGUUGGAUUAAAAUUAAUUUUUGGUGCAAUAACUUAAAAAUUUGGUCUGUUCGACCUUUAAAAUUUUACAUGAUCUGAGUUUAAACCGGUGUAAACCAGGUUGGAUUCUAUCUUUAGAGAAUAAAAUAUAUUUUAGUACGAAAGGACCAAAUAUAUAUUAAAUUAAUUG
rnacentral:rRNA from 1 species